rnacentral:rRNA from 1 species
GACGAACGCUGGCGGCGUGCUUAACACAUGCAAGUCGAGCGGUAAGGCCCUUUUGGGGGUACACGAGCGGCGAACGGGUGAGUAACACGUGGGUGACCUGCCUUCAGCUCUGGGAUAAGCUUGGGAAACUGGGUCUAAUACCGGAUGUGACUGUCUGCCGCAUGGUGGGUGGUGGAAAGUUCUCGGGCUUUGGUCUGGGUUCGGCUGGGGAUGGGCCUGCGGCCUAUCAGCUUGUUGGUGGGGUGAUGGCCUACCAAGGCGACGACGGGUAGCCGGCCUGAGAGGGCGACCGGCCACACUGGGACUGAGACACGGCCCAGACUCCUACGGGAGGCAGCAGUGGGGAAUAUUGCGCAAUGGGCGGAAGCCUGACGCAGCGACGCCGCGUGGGGGAUGACGGCCUUCGGGUUGUAAACCUCUUUCGCCAUCGACGAAGGUUCUGUGGUUGUGAGGCUGCAGGGUUGACGGUAGGUGGAGAAGAAGCACCGGCCAACUACGUGCCAGCAGCCGCGGUAAUACGUAGGGUGCGAGCGUUGUCCGGAAUUAUUGGGCGUAAAGAGCUCGUAGGCGGUGUGUCGCGUCGGCCGUGAAAACCUGCAGCUUAACUGUGGGCGUGCGGUCGAUACGGGCAUCACUGGAGUUCGGCAGGGGAGACUGGAAUUCCUGGUGUAGCGGUGAAAUGCGCAGAUAUCAGGAGGAACACCGGUGGCGAAGGCGGGUCUCUGGGCCGAUACUGACGCUGGGGAGCGAAAGCGUGGGGAGCGAACAGGAUUAGAUACCCUGGUAGUCCACGCCGUAAACGGUGGGCGCUAGGUGUGGGGCCCAUUCCCGGUCUCUGUG